ACUGGGCUUAAAGCGGGCGUAGGCGGCCAAGUAAGUGUGGUGUGAAAUCCCCCGGCUCAACCGUGGAACUGCACUGCAUACUGCUUGGCUUGAGGUCGACAGAGGCAUCUGGAACUCUAGGUGGAGCGGUGAAAUGCGUAGAUAUCUAGGGGAACGCCAGAGGCGAAAGCGGGAUGCUGGGUCGAUUCUGACGCUGAGGUCCGAAAGCGUGGGGAGCAAACAGGAUUAGAUACCCUGGUAGUCCACGCCGUAAACGAUGCACACUAGGUGCUGGGUGUUCUGAUGCAUUCAGCGCCGAAGCAAAAGUGGUAAGUGUGCCGCCUGGGGAGUACGGCCGCAAGGCUAAAACUCAAAGGAAUUGACGGGGGCUCACACAAGCGGUGGAGCAUGUGGCUUAAUUCGAAGCAACGCGAAGAACCUUACCCGGGCUUGACAUGCUUGGAUGCUCCCAGGGGAUAACCUUGGGUUGCUGCUCUUCGGAGUGAAACUUGCACAGGUGUUGCACGGCUGUCGUCAGCUCGUGCUGUGAAGUGUCGGGUUAAGUCCCUUAACGAGCGAAACCCCUAUCUCUAGUUGCCAGCGGUUCGGCCGGGGACUCUAGCGAGACUGCCGGCGUUAAGCCGGAGGAAGGUGGGGACGACGUCAAGUCAUCGUGGCCCUUAUGUCCGGGGAUGCACACGUGCUACAAUGGCAGGUACAGAGGGCGGCAAUACCGUGAGGUGGAGCUAAUCCCAAAAAGCCUGCCCCAGUUCGGAUUGGAGGCUGCAAUUCGCCUCCAUGAAGUCGGAAUCGCUAGUAAUCGCGUAUCAG
rnacentral:rRNA from 1 species